rnacentral:rRNA from 1 species
UUGAUCAUGGCUCAGAACGAACGCUGGCGGCAGGCUUAACACAUGCAAGUCGAGCGCACUCUUCGGAGUGAGCGGCAGACGGGUGAGUAACGCGUGGGAAUCUACCCAGAUCUACGGAAUAACACAGAGAAAUUUGUGCUAAUACCGUAUACGCCCUACGGGGGAAAGAUUUAUCGGAUUUGGAUGAGCCCGCGUUGGAUUAGCUAGUUGGUAGGGUAAAGGCCUACCAAGGCGACGAUCCAUAGCUGGUGUGAGAGGAUGAUCAGCCACACUGGGACUGAGACACGGCCCAGACUCCUACGGGAGGCAGCAGUGGGGAAUAUUGGACAAUGGGGGCAACCCUGAUCCAGCCAUGCCGCCAGCGUUCAUC